rnacentral:rRNA from 1 species
CCUACGGGGGGCUGCAGUGGGGAAUAUUGCGCAAUGGGCGAAAGCCUGACGCAGCGACGCCGCGUGGGUGAUGAAGGCCUUCGGGUUGUAAAGCCCUGUCGGGUGGAACGAACGAUCUGGCGGCGAAUAACCGCCGGGUGUGACGGUACCACCGAAGGAAGCCCCGGCUAACUACGUGCCAGCAGCCGCGGUAAGACGUAGGGGGCGAGCGUUGUUCGGAUGUACUGGGCGUAAAGCGCGCGUAGGCGGCGAAAUCCGUCGGCUGAGCCGAGGUCCGGCAUCCGAGACUGUCUGGCUCGAGUCUGGGGGAGGAAAGCGGAAUUCCCAGUGUAGCGGUGAAAUGCGUAGAUAUUGGGAGGAACACCGGUGGCGAAGGCGGCUUUCCGGACUAGUACUGACGCUGAGGCGCGAAAGCUAGGGGAGCGAACGGGAUUAGAUACCCCGGUAGUC